AUGACGACUGCUGUGGCCUUCACCACAUCCAUCUCACUCCUCCUCCUGCUGAUCCCCGUCGCUCUUGCAAAGGAUCACACCAAUGGCGGCAGCUACCUCGCCAGAGGCUCCUCGGUGUCCAUCGAGGAUGGCACCAAGGCCACCACCACCACCAUCCUGGCGUCGCCCAAUGGCGCCUUCGCCUGCGGCUUCUACAGGGUGGCCACCAACGCCUACACCUUCUCCAUCUGGUUCCGCUCCUCAUCGGCCAAGACCGUCGCGUGGACGGUCAACCGCGACGCGCCGGUGAACGGCAGGGGGUCCAGGCUCGCCUUCCGGAAGGACGGGGCCCUGGCCCUGCUCGACUACAAUGGCGCGGCCGUCUGGAGCACCAACACAAGCGCGACCCGUGCCAGCCGCGUGGAGCUCCUCGACAGCGGCGACCUUGUCGUCGUCGAUCCAAACGGCCGGCGCCUCUGGGGGAGCUUCGACUCACCCACCGACACGCUUCUGCCGUCGCAGCCGAUGACCCGGCACACAAAGCUGGUGUCUGCGUCUGCCAGGGGUUUGCUCUCAUCAGGGUUGUAUGCAUUCUACUUUGACAAUGACAACCAGCUCAAGCUCAUCUACAACGGCCCUGAGGUCAGUAGCGUGUACUGGCCUGACCCUUUCACCACCCCGCUUGUGAAUCACAGGACUACCUACAACAGUAGCCAGUAUGGAGUUCUUGAGCAGACAGGCCGGUUCGCCGCGAGCGACAACUUCAAAUUCGCAGCUUCUGAUCUUGGUGAUAAGGUCAUGAGGAGGUUGACUCUGGAUUACGAUGGCAAUCUCAGGCUGUACAGCCUGAACGCGACCACCGGCGGCUGGUCGGUCUCUUGGAUGGUAUUCCGCGGAGUCUGCAAUAUUCAUGGACUCUGCGGCAAAAACAGCCUCUGCAAGUACAUACCCAAGCUCCAGUGCUCUUGCCUCAGAGGCUUUGAGGUGGUCGAUGCAAGCGACUGGAGCAAAGGGUGCAGGCGCAAGGCAAACCUCAGGGCCACCCAGGAUUUCUCAUUCAGAAAGGUCGCGGGAGCUGAUUUCAUUGGGUAUGACUUGCUCUACUGGGAGCGGGUGACAAUUCGGAACUGCAAAGAUUUGUGCUUGGACAAUGCUAAUUGCCAAGCCUUUGGUUACCGUCAGGGAGAAGGCAAAUGUUUCACAAAGGUCUAUCUUUUUAACGGCAAGAACUUUCCGAACCCUCACACUGACAUUUAUCUGAAAGUUCCCAGGGGAGCGCUGUCUUCCUCAGAAUUGGCUUCUACCGUAACCCAUGAAUGCAAAGUUCAUCAAAAGGAGGCCAACAGUACAUCGCUAUUGUUCCAGGAUGGCUCUUCUAACUUCAAGUUUGGCUACUUCCUUUCUUCUGCAUUAACACUGCUUUUCAUUGAAGUGAUAUUAAUCAUCGCCGGGUGUUGGGUUGUUCACAAAUGGGAGGGAAGACCAGAGAUUAUAGAUGAAGGUUACACGAUAAUUUCCAGCCAGUUCCGAAUAUUUAGCUACAGGGAGUUACAGAAGGCAACCAGUUGCUUCCAAGAAGAGCUAGGAAGCGGUGGAUCAGGAGCAGUUUACAAGGGAGUCCUCGAUGAUGCAAGGAAGGUCGCAGUGAAGAAGCUAAACGAUGUGAUCCAAGGAGAGCAGGAGUUCAGGUCUGAGAUAAGUGUCAUAGGCAGAAUUUAUCAUAUGAAUCUCGUCAGAAUUUGGGGGUUUUGUGUCGAGAAGACGCACAAGCUCUUGGUUUCAGAGUUCAUCGAGAAUGGUUCCUUGGCCGCAGUUCUUUUUGAUCACCAGAGUAAUUCUCCUGUGCUCCAAUGGGGCCAAAGGUACAAUAUUGCACUUGGGGUGGCAAAAGGACUGGCCUAUCUCCAUCAUGAGUGUCUUGAAUGGAUUGUCCACUGUGAUGUCAAACCAGAGAACAUAUUGUUAGAUAGAGACUUUCAGCCCAAGAUUGCAGAUUUUGGACUGAUGAAGCUACAACAGCGAGGAUCAAGCGCAGAAAUGUUGUCAAAAGUGCAUGGGACUAGAGGCUACAUUGCACCAGAAUGGGCUCUAAAUCUUCCAAUCAAUGGGAAGGCCGAUGUUUACAGCUACGGCGUAGUGCUUCUUGAGUUAGUGAAGGGGGUUCGUCUUUCCAGAUGGGUGGCUGAGGGCGAGGAGGAGGUUGAAAUGGCUGGUAUAUGCUCUAUUGAAAUCCUUAAAGAAAAACUAGCAGGCGAAGACCAGUCAUGGCUUCUGGAGUUUGUCGACCACAGACUGGAUGGAGAAUUCAACCAGUCAGAAGCUACAGUAAUGCUUAAGAUAGCAAUAUCAUGUGUACAAGAGGACAGGAGCAGAAGACCAAGCAUGAGCCACGUGGUCGAAACUUUGCUUUCACUUGUGGAGUAA
rnacentral:rRNA from 1 species